GGGGGAAUUAUUCCUGAGGGGAUUCGCCCUUUAGGGAGCGGCUCAUUCCUGAGGGGAGACCCGGAGUGGGGAUGCGGGUGCGAGGCUGUUCUUCAAAGCGGGGUUUGAUCUGUGAGGAGGGCGGUUUGUGCGGAGGAAAAAAGGGCUGUCGCUGAGGCGAUGUGGAAUGGGGAUAGGGCCGGCCCUGAGGGAGCGGGAUGUGGGGACAUUUUGCAGGGGAAGUAGAGUGGGGACAGAGCGGUGGUUCCUGAGGGUUUGUGCUGUGGGGAUGGAGCUGCGGGCUGUGCCCAGCGGGAGGAGGGCGCUGGUGCUGGGAGUUCAGGAUGAGGCGGGUGGGGCUCAGCUGCUUUUCAGCGCUGCGAUUGACAGACAGAAGCUUUGGUCAUCGCUGUGGAAUUCCUGGUAUGAGAAGGCAGAGUCAGGGUAGAGAGAAGAUCCUUGCUGAACUGCUGCAAUGAUGAAGACAGUGAUUUUAAUUGUCCUAAUCACCUUUUCUUUGCUGGCUUCAGGAAAGAAAUUCCGAUGGUGCACCCUUUCUGACCUGGAACAAAGAAAGUGUGCUGAGCUUUCCAAAGCACUUACAGCUGUGCUGCCCCUCACUACUGCCAGUUCCUUUACUAGGAUUUCUUGCAUCAGAGCCCACAAUACAUAUGACUGCAUUGAUAAAAUAAGGGCAAAUAAAGCAGAUGCUGCCUCCUUGGAUGCUGGAGAUGUUUACUCUGCUGUAAAGCUGUACGGUUUGACAGUGGUGGCAAAAGAGAUCUAUGAUCAAGGAAAUUGUGUGUUUGCUGUGGCCAUUGCCAAACGAGGAACUCUGGAUAUCCAGAGUCUACGAGGUGUGCGAAGCUGUCACAAUGGAGCCAGGUGGACAUCGGGCUGGAAUAUUCCACUUGGCUUCCUCCUUGCAAGAAAUUCUCUUUCCUGGGAUGAGGCCCAACCUCUGAGCCAAGCAAUUAGUGAGUAUUUCAAUGCAAGUUGCAUCCCUGGAGUUGGUGUUGCUGCUCCUCAGUUGUGUGCUCUCUGCCAAGGACAAAAGUCCUAUGUCCGAGACAGGAACCACUUCUGUGAGACAAGCAGUAAUGAACCCUUCUAUGACUCUGAGGGAGCCUUCAGGUGCUUGAAGGAUGGAGUGGCAGAUGUUGCUUUUUUAGAUCAUCUACGAAUUAUGAGUGCCACAGAGUCAGAACAACAGGAAUAUGAACUCUUAUGUCCUGAUGGGUCCACAGCUGAGCUGACUGAAUACAGCACCUGUAACCUGGGCAAGGGGCCUGGCCGUGGUAUCGUCACCCGCAACAACUUCCAGAAGAUCACCAACAAAUUUCUUAGCAUGAUCCAACGCCUCUUUGGGCAUAAAGGAAAGGAAAGAGCCAGAUUUGAACUCUUCAGUUCAGCACCGUUUGGGGGAAAGAACCUGCUGUUCCGAGAUGCCACUCAGCACCUGCAGCUUCUUGAGGAGCAGCUGGAGAUUGCCUAUGUCCUUGGUCUGGAUUAUGUAGCUCUCCUUAAGGGACUCGGCCAUGAAGGGAGCUCUUUGGACAACAGCGUUGUGCGCUGGUGCUGCAUCAGUGAUGCUGAGCUUCGCAAAUGUGAGGAGUGGGCACUGAACAUCAAAUCUGACCCAUUAGUCUGUGUCCAAGCCACUUCCAUGACCAAAUGCAUUGAAAUGAUCAAGAGUAGUGAGGCUGAUGCAGUCACCCUGGACGCAACACAUGUGUACAUUGCAGGGAGAUGUGGACUGGUGCCUGUAGCUGCAGAAUGCUAUGGGGGAGAUUGUGCUCCAGCAGCUGAGACCAUGGAGAAAACAGGAAAACUAAUUCAUCUUCAACACAAAGCACUACCACCGGUUUAUGCUGUUGCUCUAGCUAAGAAAAGUGCCAAACAGAUUCACAUCCAUAACCUUAGGGGAAGGAGAUCCUGCCACAGUCACCUGUACAGUCCUGGAGGAUGGUUACUUCUGUCCAGACACACAGUGGGAGCUUGGCAGAAUGAUACUGAGAACUGUGAUAUUGCCUCUGCUUAUCAGAAUUACUUUUGGAAGGGCUGCAUGCCAGGAGCAGAUGGAAACCUGUGCAAGGUGUGCAUUGGAGAUGGUGAGGUGGAAGGAGCUCGAGUGUCCAGCAGAUGUGCUGCAAGUCACAAUGAACGUUACUAUGGCAAUAUGGGAGCACUCAGGUGCCUAGUUGGCAAUCCCAGUGGAAGAAGCUUUGGAGAUGUAGCUUUCCUGGAACACUCAAACCUGCUCCAGAACAUAGAGGAUCUGGGCAGCUCUGGUUGGGCAAAAGGUUAUACCCCCCUUGACUUUGAACUCUUGUGUCCGGACGGAACACGCGCCGCAGUCACGGAAUGGGCAGGCUGUAACCUUGGCCCCAUUCCCCCCAGCACUGUCAUGACUCGCCCAGUCACUGUCACUAAAAUCUCUGACUUCCUACUGAAAUCUCAGGUGUGACAGGAAUCUCUGGGAAGUGAAUUGGAUUCUGAAUUCCAGCUCUUUCAGUCCUGGAAGUAUGGUGAAAGUGAUCUGCUUUUUAAAGACACCACUCAGUACCUUGUUCAUGCAAGUCAUCUGAGCUAUCAGAAGAUCCUUGGAGAGUCUUUCAUUCAGCUGGCAGAAUCAGUGUUUAAUUGCACACCUGCAGGCAUCUUGGACUUCUGCAAACAGGAUAUCUGUGCCUCCUCAUCCAACUGACAGCUCAUACAGAGGCUUUGCAGGGCACGUACCAUCAGCAUUGCUGCCAAGAACAAGGAAAACGUGCAAGUCCAACCAAUCCAAAGCAAUUAGCAAGGAAACAAUCAUCUCCAGAGAUGUAUGCUGAACACCUUCUUGUCUUUUUUUUUUUUUUUAAUCAGAUUUUAUGUUUAUGAUGAUGUAAUACUACUCAUAUAUCAUCCCUUUCUUUUUUGGAGCAUGGCAGCAUGGGGAACAGCACAACCAACAGCAGAGAACUAGGAUCAGCAUUGUGGAAAGAGCAGGGCCAGUACCAUGGACUGAAAUACAGACUUGGUAUGAGUAGUACAGGUUAGUUGGUAGCAUUUUGCCUUGUUUGUCUUAUAAAUAGUUUCCAUGCAAAAAGCCCAAUCAACUGACAUUUUGGUAGUUGCAACAUUGUCUUCUGUAUCUGUGAUUUUGGUUGCAGCUCAAUAGCCCCUGCUGAAUGCGCAUCUAUAUUUCUUCUUCAACCAAUUGUUUUUUACUAGUAAAUCAAAACUUUUUUUUCUCACAAUAAAUGUAUUACACAUUUAAUAGCCAGCACAGCUGGAUGCUUGCAGCAGUGGAUAUUCCUUUGUCAAGACCUCCAACCAUUACUUUAUAUUGAUGCUUUGAAUUUAAGAUUCUCUGAAAUGUCAAAAUACUAUCUAUCAAUUAAACACCAAAAGUUUUACAAGCAGAAACUGCCUGAACAUGAUCUGAAGCCUUUUGAACAGAAAUCAUCUGUUCAUCAUCACUUUCCUGUCUUGUUCCAGUAUGGUUACAGAGCCAAAUCCUCAGAUGCAUUUGCAGCCAGCAAGCUGCAGCCCUGAAGGAGCAGGGAAAGAGCAGGAUGCUUCUUUAGGCCUCUCAGGUGUUCCUGCCUUUCUUUCCUAGAGCUUCCCUGCCAUCUGUGGGGCCCGUGUGACACUGCACUCGGGAGAAGACAGUUCUGAGAACACGGUGAAGAAAUGCAUCUGGCAGCCUAGCUCUGCCAAGAGCAGCAUGCAGCUGAUCAGGGAUAAAUUAAAAAUCUGGGUUAUACACAAAAUUUUAUGGGUUGGGAGGGGAGAGAUCUUUUCUGACACAGACAUUACGAAUGCUUACUAGGCCUUGAUGAUCCCAUGCUCCAGCUUUGAUUCACAAGCAUCAGUGUGCCACCUUGCACAGCCUGUGGUACAUGAACCACUGCCCAGCCUCAGUCUUGAAUCUCAGAUCUGAGCUGAGCAGAAACUGUUUGUGCUUUCUGUGCUCUCUGGCUCUUGCUACCCUGCUUUCUGAAGAGAGGGAUGCUGCCUCAGUACUCUGAAUAGUAGCCGAGAUCACGCUUAAUAUCUCUCAGGCUGGGAUGAAGAAACACCAGAACUGCUGCUUUGUGUCUCAGUAACAGCACACCCUGUUACCAAACAGUGCCGAUCUCUUUGGAGAUUUGGCCUUUCCCCCUGCAUGUAAGACAUAUUAUCAUGCAUAUUUACCCAUACAAGCUUAAAGGCCUUAAAAACCUGAAAAGUUCUCAGAAAAAUUUAUUUCCAUAAAUUAAAAACACACACAAAAGAAACAGUAAAAUUUUAGAUUCACACAAUAUUGAACAUAAACAAAAUGCCAAGAGCAUGAUGGAGGCUAAUGGCACAAAUGUACAAAUUCUCAUUGAGCUAUUUGUUACCUUGAUAGCAUCAUACAGACUUUUAAUCCACAGUUACUAUCCACAUUCUAGAAAAGCACCUGGAACAUAAUAUACCAAAGGCCCACCUGAAAUAAAAUACAAUGAAUGAGAACUGCUUGCAGGAAGUCAUAUCCAGCAAGCACCAGAACUCAAACGUAUGCAGACACAAGCCAGAUAGGAAAAUGCUGUACCAUACAUUAAGGAGCUUUAGCUACUCCAGUCUUAGCAUGAUGAAAACUAUGAUUUUUUUUUCUUCUUUCUUCUUUUUUUUUUUUUUUAAAGUGAUCCUUCCAUCCCUGACAAUCAGCAAAUUUAUCAAAGAGCUGCCUGGCUCUACUAAGAGACAGGACAUGGCAAAAGCUUUGCAAUCCUUUUCAAGCUGUUCUGGCCAUCAGUCUGAUAUACUUUCCAUGGUGAUACAAAAACUGGAAUGGGUCCACUUAAUGAAAAGGCAAGUGUACAUAUCCUUCUUUUUGUACAUAUUCUUUUUCCUUUAAUUAGCUGUGACAGAAGCAGCUCAGAAUGGCAAAUGCUCAGCUUUUUCCCAGUUAUCACUCCCAGUGUACAAGCAGCAGCCACAAGGAACAUAGCUGUUCCCUGAGUGCUGUAAACAGAAACAGAGGUGGGAAAGGGAAAAACAAAAAAGUGCAUAAGCAGGACUGACACCUGUAUGCUGGAGAGGGGAAGAGAUACUUGGUCUCCACUAGAUUACAUUGUCAUACAAACACUAAACCAAAAGAGAAUAAUGCUGUGUAUUUGGGUUUCCACAAACUAAAGGUCUGCGAGAAGCUAAACAACUGCAACAUCAUUUUGCAACUCCUCCAAUUACUGUAAACUGAAGAGUAUUUGAGUGUUUUCUUUGCUCUUUCUCCUGUAGCUUGUAGGAAAAAAGUUAAUAAAUCUUAUUUCAAUGCAAUCAGAAACGAGAGAGCGGGGAAGAGAAAAAAAACCAAACCCACCCUAAACAAAACUCAACAUAACCCAAAGGAAAAGACUCAACACAUUCCAUGUUUUGAAGCACAUUAGAGGUCUGAACUUCUGGA